rnacentral:miRNA from 1 species
AAUGGCUGUCUCUCUGUUGGAAGACUGUGUGUGUGUAUAUAUAUAUAUUUAUAUAUACACACACUCAUACACACACACUGUCACACACCCACA